rnacentral:misc_RNA from 1 species
UGGUACUAUUAAGUACCAAAACCUCAUAUGUUCUCGCUUUGUUAUUUAUCUGUCCACUCAAAAAGUAGUUGUACAUAUUUCUUAAUUUUUAAUUUUUCAGAUUAUUUUCGCUGAUUUCAACAUUAACAACCUCUCGUCAGUAUUGUUCUCUUUUCCACUUCACCCGCUAUAGAGUCUAGUGGAAGUUGGGCUAAUAUGUUUCUUUUGCUUAUUUGUUUUGUUUUAGAUUACUAUACACCUAUAUAGGCUGCUAAAAAACUUAAGACUGUAAAUAUUUUCUUUUAAUCCUCACAGAGAGGAUAUAUGUGUGUGUGUAUUUAAAUAUGUUUGAUUGGCA